rnacentral:rRNA from 1 species
AACGUAGGACGCAAGCGUUAUCCGGAGUUACUGGGCGUAAAGGGCAGGCAGGCGGGUCGAUAAGUCGGAUGUGAAAUCUCCCUGGCUUAACCGGGAGAGUGCAUUUGAGACUGUCAACCUGGAGGGCAGCAGAGGAGCGUGGAAUUCCGGGUGGAGUGGUGAAAUGCGUAGAGAUUGGGAAGAACACCAGUGGCGAAGGCGGCUAUCUGGACGGUUUCUGACACUAAGACUCGAAAGCGUGGGGAGCAAACAGG